rnacentral:rRNA from 1 species
AUUGAACGCUGGCGGCAUGCCUUACACAUGCAAGUCGAACGGCAGCACGGGAGCAAUCCUGGUGGCGAGUGGCGAACGGGUGAGUAAAGUAUCGGAACGUGCCCAGUCGUGGGGGAUAACGUAGCGAAAGUUACGCUAAUACCGCAUACGAUCUAUGGAUGAAAGCGGGGGAUCGCAAGACCUCGCGCGAUUGGAGCGGCCGAUAUCAGAUUAGGUAGUUGGUGGGGUAAAGGCUCACCAAGCCGACGAUCUGUAGCUGGUCCGAGAGGACGACCAGCCACACUGGGACUGAGAGACGGCCCAGACUCCUACGGGAGGCAGCAGUGGGGAAUUUUGGACAAUGGGCGAAAGCCUGAUCCAGCCAUGCCGCGUGCAGGAUGAAGGCCUUCGGGUUGUAAACUGCUUUUGUACGGAACGAAAAGGUUUGGCCUAAUAAGCUGAGCUCAUGACGGUACCGUAAGAAUAAGCACCGGCUAACUACGUGCCAGCAGCCGCCGUAA